CGGUCAUGGCCCAGCCUUCAUGACCAUAGGUGAGGGUAGGAACGAAGAUCGACCGGUAGAUUGAGAGCUUUGCCUUCUGGCUCAGCUCUCUUUUCGUCACAACGGUGCGGUAAAGUGACUGUAAUAGUUGCAAUAAUAUUAACCAUCAUUAAUAUUUUUUAAUAACCAGACUUGCUCAUACCAGAAGACAUAAUGGCGACACUGUAAGGAGGUGUGGCAGUGUUCCAACACAGCUGAGCGAUGUGGCAGCAAAAGACUGAGCAUAGCACUGGCAGUUUAUUUUCACCAUAUUUCAAAAGGUAUGCAGAUUUGGAUGUUUGACCGCCGCCCGCCGCCCGCUUGAUUGGCUGCGACAUCUCCUCCUCCCUCCUUGAUGAAGACCGGCUGUGAUUGGUGUGCACCUGUUCCGGCUCUACAAUCCGAGUCGCACGGGAGAGACCGGUGACUACAAAUGCCAAGCCAGCUCGACAGUCGGGGCGGCUGGUGUUUGGCUUUUAUGCCUUAUUUGCGCUUGUGUUAAGAGCCCUCCUUUUGUUCUUUGUGGUGUCGUUAAAAGCAAUUGUUUGUCAAAUUGUCCACCAUAUUUAAUAAAUAUAUCUUUUUUUGCCAUCAA